CAGAGCAGUGCCUGGGCUGCAGGGAAGGAGGCCAGCCUGAAGGGAUGGUUCUCCAGCAGAGCUUGGCAAUUCUAUCCACGAGUACUUUGGAGAGCUUAAAUUGGCUUUCUGCAAAUAUUGGUGGGCCUGAUCCAGAGCCCUUCUUGUUUGCAGGCCCAGAGAGUGCAGGCCCUGAGCAGCCCCAGCGCGACCAAGUGUUGUUUGUGCUUUAAUUUCGUAUUAAGCUUGCCACUCCGUGCAGUAGAGGUUCUGUCAUGUGAUAUUACUCCACACAGAGGGAAGCUGGAGCAGCCCUGCACGCUGCUUUACACCACUGGAAAACAUUGAGCUUUGGCUGUGGGAAGCUCGGAGUCAGGAGCUGCGCGGGUACAGGGGAGUCCCAUCACCUCAGCUUCACCCAUGUCCCUGCUUCUGCAGCAGCAGAAAUAUUCCUGUUGGGCAAUGCCAGAGUCCCAGGAGCGGCCUCAAAAGCAGGAGCACCAGGCUGUCGCCCGCUGAAUGCUCCGCUUCUCUGCUGGCGGCCGUUCCUUCCCCUCGCCCCAUACCGCACCGCCUCCACAAGACCACGGUGUUUAGGUGGGCAGUUACAGCACUGGGGAGCAAAGCACAGCCCGGAAGGGGAGAAGUAAAUAAACUGAGAUAUCAAGAUGAGUUAGUUCUUGUAGGUCCUACAAAUAAAGCACUUCUUAUGAACAACAUCUGAUUUUCCAUGUGUCAGGCCUAAAUUUAGUCAGAGGCGAUUUGUGGCAAAGCUGGUCCAAAGAUUUC
rnacentral:lncRNA from 1 species